ensembl:lncRNA
GAUUAAAAAUCCUCAUUUGAACAAGAUUCUUUUAUUCUCAGUAGCUCCAACUGUGAAGAUCUCUAUCUCUUUAUGCAGAUGGGUAACCACUUGAAUUUGCAAGAAGAUUCCCAAAUGCUAUGAAGACUUCAUACCCCUUGAGAAGGGAAACAUUAACUCUAGAUGAUGAGAGAAUAGGAAAGCUUAUGUACUGCAGACUCAACCUCUUUUCACUUGAAAGGACAUAAUCAAACAAAAAUCCUUCAAAAACAGUUCUACUGAAGAGAGGACAUAGACAGGAGAAGCAAAUAUAUGAGUUUGGUUGGAGAGGAAGAGUUCUGGGAGGAGUAAGAGACAAAGGAGAUCUCAUUAAUUAUGUUUCCAGAUGAUGCUGAGUAGCAAGAUCCAGCGAAAUUAUUGCAGUGGUGAGUACUGCACUAAUUCCCUGUGUGCAGGAAAUUCUGGAGGUAGCUGUUUUCAUCUGGCAAAAUAAAGACUGUGAGAUCAUCUUGAAACACAGGUCAGUUUUACUACCAUCUUUCUAUUAAAUUAAGUGUAAGAGAUUCACAUCUCCAUCUUAAAGGCAAAUGCAAAUUCCUUCAACAUCUGAAUUGUCU